GUGGGUGGAAGGGUGAAUCGAAGCAUCGUCGCUCAUUGGUCACGUGACUUUCAGUAAACAAAUCAAGCUCCGACACAGUGCUUUGCUCUGCGGUGGUUCGUUUUGGUGAUACAAGCUUCGAAUCCUGCGUGUCACAGUGUGCAGGUGCCCUCCUAGGAUUGGUGGAUGAUGGCCAGGGGACGUUUGGAUUUGAAGAUCAGCUGGGACAAAGCUGUUAAAAGGAGCCUGAUGAGAUGCAGCUGUGUUCUUCAUUCUCCACUCAUUCCAAUCAACAACCACUUGAUGCUCUGUGUUUGUGUGAUGCCCUUGUGCCUUUUGUGACUAGUACCUGCCGUUCGAGGAUUCUGUAGGGGUGAACCGCCUUUUUUCUUUGCAUUCCUGUUUUCUCCUGUUUUGGAUAGUCAGGGAGGCAUUGGUUCACCCUGAGUUAUUAAUCAUGCAGCUGUUUGACCACCUCAGUGACCUCAGCACCAGAGAUUGGAGAAUCCAACCCAAAGACACCAGACUCUGCUUCCUCACUGGAAGAUGUGCCAGUAGGAGUGAGAAGGUCUUUGAAGUAUUCCACCCACCGAUCCGCAACGAGGUCAGCAGCACACGUCACCAAUAUAAACAGUGUUGGUAGUGCACUGCUGUCUCCUCCUGAAGCACCGGAUGGUGAACCAGAAUCUCUCCAAAAUCUUGUUCCAUGGUCUCACCAAACUCCUCUCACUCUCAGGUUUUUGCCUUUGUGACCACAUGAGACAUGACUGCAUGUAGAGGGAGGUAGAGUGUAAAGUCGGUAAAGACAGCUCUCCCUUGCCCUGCCUCCAACAUGCCUCCAUCUAAAUAGGAUAGGUUAUCCAGAGUUAUCUCUGUAGUUAUGCUGCUAUAGGCUUAGACUGCUGGAGGACAUACUGACUACUUUCCACACUCUACUACUUUCUUCUACAAUCUGCUCUUUAACUGUAUUACUUUCUGCUAUUUCAGCUGUUAACUUUAUUUUUUCUCUAAGUGUUUUUCUCCCCAGAAGAAGCUACAACGAUGCUCUGCUGAGCUGUGGUGGC